CUACUGGGGUAUCUAAUCCUGUUUGCUCCCCACGCCUUCGAGCCUCAACGUCAGUUAUCGUCCAGUAAGCCGCCUUCGCCACCGGUGUUCCUCCCAAUAUCUACGCAUUUCACCGCUACACUGGGAAUUCCACUUACCUCUCCGACACUCUAGCUUCACAGUUUCCAAAGCAGUCCCGGGGUUAAGCCCCGGGCUUUCACUUCAGACUUGCCAAGCCGUCUGCGCUCCCUUUACACCCAGUAAAUCCGGAUAACGCUUGCCCCCUACGUAUUACCGCGGCUGCUGGCAC
rnacentral:rRNA from 1 species